CACGUAGGGUGCGAGCGUUGUCCGGAAUUAUUGGGCGUAAAGAGCUCGUAGGCGGUGUGUCGCGUCGGCCGUGAAAACCUGCAGCUUAACUGUGGGCUUGCGGUCGAUACGGGCAUCACUGGAGUUCGGCAGGGGAGACUGGAAUUCCUGGUGUAGCGGUGAACUGCGCAGAUAUCAGGAGGAACACCGGUGGCGAAGGCGGGUCUCUGGGCCGAUACUGACGCUGAGGAGCGAAAGCGUGGGGAGCAAACAGG
rnacentral:rRNA from 1 species